UUUCCCUGCAAACUAGACAAAAAACAAAAGUGAAGCUUUGUAAAACCCACCAAGUGCAACCUAAGUUUGGCAAUGUGUUGGACUUAUCAAUUUUGCUUUCAAAUGGUCCUAUAAUCUAAUGAUAUUGGGCCUUGUAGGCUCUAUUUGUUUCAGGUUGCCUUUUUUCAUUUUUUGUUAUUAUGGAAGCAAAAUGGAAACCAAUGUUUGGUUGCAAUUUAUGAAAUGCAUAAUUUUGUCCUCUUUUUCUUAUUUAGGAUCACAUCUUCAGAAGAUCUAGGACCACUAAGUUCUUCCUCAUUACUUCCCUCUUAACAUAAUCUUAAGUUUGCCCCUCCUUUUACCAUUUUAUUGUAUUUGUACCGUUGCAUUUAUUGUUCUA
rnacentral:misc_RNA from 1 species